UACGUAGGGUGCAAGCGUUGUCCGGAAUUAUUGGGCGUAAAGAGCUCGUAGGCGGUCUGUCGCGUCUGCUGUGAAAACCCGAGGCUCAACCUCGGGCCUGCAGUGGGGUACGGGCAGACUAGAGUGCGGUAGGGGAGAUUGGAAUUCCUGGUGUAGCGGUGGAAUGCGCAGAUAUCAGGAGGAACACCAAUGGCGAAGGCAGAUCUCUGGGCCGUAACUGACGCUGAGGAGCGAAAGCAUGGGGAGCGAACAGG
rnacentral:rRNA from 1 species